rnacentral:rRNA from 1 species
ACGACCGUACCGCAAACCGACACUGGUGCGCGAGAUGAGUAUUCUAAGGCGCUUGAGAGAACUCAGGAGAAGGAACUCGGCAAAUUGACACCGUAACUUCGGAAGAAGGUGUGCCUUUAGUAGGUGAACCUGUACAAGGGGAGCCCAAUGAGGUUGCAAAAAAUCGGUGGCUGCGACUGUUUAAUAAAAACACAGCACUCUGCAAACACGAAAGUGGACGUAUAGGGUGUGACGCCUGCCCCGUGCUGGAAGAUUAAAUGAUGGGGUGCAAGCUCUUGAUUGAAGUCCCAGUAAACGGCGGCCGUAACGAUAACGGUCCUAAGGUAGCGAAAUUCCUUGUCGGGUAAGUUCCGACCUGCACGAAUGGCGUAACGAUGGCCACACUGUCUCCUCCUGAGACUCAGCGAAGUUGAAAUGUUUGUGAUGAUGCAAUCUCCCCGCGGAAAGACGGAAAGACCCCAUGAACCUUUACUGUAGCUUUGUAUUGGACUUUGAACAGAUCUGUGUAGGAUAGGUGGGAGGCUUUGAAGUGUGGUCGCUAGAUCGCAUGGAGCCAACGCUGAAAUACCACCCUGGUGUGUUUGAGGUUCUAACCUAGGCCCGUAAUCCGGGUCGGGGACAGUGCAUGGUAGGCAGUUUGACUGGGGCGGUCUCCUCCCAAAGCGUAACGGAGGAGUUCGAAGGUACGCUAGGUACGGUCGGACAUCGUGCUAAUAGUGCAAUGGCAUAAGCGUGCUUAACUGCGAGACUGACAAGUCGAGCAGAUGCGAAAGCAGGACAUAGUGAUCCGGUGGUUCUGUAUGGAAGGGCCAUCGCUCAACGGAUAAAAGGUACUCUGGGGAUAACAGGCUGAUACCGCCCAAGAGUUCAUAUCGACGGCGGUGUUUGGCACCUCGAUGUCGGCUCAUCUCAUCCUGGGGCUGUAGCCGGUCCCAAGGGUAUGGCUGUUCGCCAUUUAAAGAGGUACGUGAGCUGGGUUUAAAAUGUCGUGAGACAGUUUGGUCCCUAUCUUCCGUGGGCGCUGCAGAUUUGAGGAAGCCAGCUCCUAGUACGAGAGGACCGGAGUGGACACACCUCUGGUGUAUCGGUUGUCACGCCAGUGGCAUUGCCGAGUAGCUAUGUGUGGAAGAGAUAACCGCUGAAAGCAUCUAAGCGGGAAACUCGUUUCAAGAUGAGAUCUGCCGGGGCCUUGAGCCCCCUAAAGAGUCGUUCAAGACCAGGACGUUGAUAGGUCGGGUGUGGAAGCGCAGUAAUGCGUUAAGCUAACCGAUACUAAUUGCUCGUGCGGCUUGACCU